AGUGAACGCUGGCGGUAGGCCUAACACAUGCAAGUCGAACGGCAGCACAGUAAGAGCUUGCUCUUACGGGUGGCGAGUGGCGGACGGGUGAGGAAUACAUCGGAAUCUACUUUUUCGUGGGGGAUAACGUAGGGAAACUUACGCUAAUACCGCAUACGACCUACGGGUGAAAGCAGGGGAUCUUCGGACCUUGCGCGAUUGAAUGAGCCGAUGUCGGAUUAGCUAGUUGGCGGGGUAAAGGCCCACCAAGGCGACGAUCUGUAGCUGGUCUGAGAGGAUGAUCAGCCACACUGGAACUGAGACACGGUCCAGACUCCUACGGGAGGCAGCAGUGGGGAAUAUUGGACAAUGGGCGCAAGCCUGAUCCAGCCAUACCGCGUGGGUGAAGAAGGCCUUCGGGUUGUAAAGCCCUUUUGUUGGGAAAGAAAAGCAGCAGGUUAAUACCCCGCUGUUCUGACGGUACCCAAAGAAUAAGCACCGGCUAACUUCGU
rnacentral:rRNA from 1 species